rnacentral:rRNA from 1 species
AGUGAACGCUGGCGGUAGGCCUAACACAUGCAAGUCGAACGGCAGCACAGGAGAGCUUGCCCUCUGGGUGGCGAGUGGCGGACGGGUGAGGAAUACAUCGGAAUCUACUCUGUCGUGGGGGAUAACGUAGGGAAACUUACGCUAAUACCGCAUACGACCUACGGGUGAAAGCAGGGGACCUUCGGGCCUUGCGCGAUUGAAUGAGCCGAUGUCGGAUUAGCUAGUUGGCGGGGUAAAGGCCCACCAAGGCGACGAUCCGUAGCUGGUCUGGGAGGAGGAUCAGCCACACUGGAACUGAGACACGGUCCAGACUCCUACGGGAGGCAGCAGUGGGGAAUAUUGGACAAUGGGCGCAAGCCUGAUCCAGCCAUACCGCGUGGGUGAAGAAGGCCUUCGGGUUGUAAAGCCCUUUUGUUGGGAAAGAAAUCCAGCUGGCUAAUACCCGGUUGGGAUGACGGUACCCAAAGAAUAAGCACCGGCUAACUUCGUGCCAGCCGCCGCCGUAA